ACAACACAAUGAUGACAAGUAACUAAAGUAUUGAAAUCUUUUUGAUGAAAAGAGACUCAAAAAAAUUCGAUUUGCAUGUCAGUCUGAUUGU
rnacentral:snoRNA from 1 species